UUGGAUUACAAAUACAAUUACUAUUUUUAACUUUGGAUUACAAUUCGUAUCCGGAUCUAUCCAAGAAUAUCUUACUCUGGAACCUGGUGUUCUUUUCAAUUCUUUCCCAGACAAAAGCUUUGCUCAUUUUAAUCAACCACCUUUAUAGGCAAAGAUCACACUACGGAUGUUUUACUGUUACAACAAUGAUCUAAGAUGCUGGGAGCACAAAAAAAACCUAAAGACUGUUGGAGAACUUUGGUUCACUAAUUUAAGGAAGAAAUGCGCUACAAUGCCCACAGUUUAAUGGAGAGGGUGUUACGG
rnacentral:lncRNA from 1 species